UACGUAGGGCGCAAGCGUUAUCCGGAAUUAUUGGGCGUAAAGAGCUCGUAGGCGGUUUGUCGCGUCUGCCGUGAAAGUCCGGGGCUCAACUCCGGAUCUGCGGUGGGUACGGGCAGACUAGAGUGAUGUAGGGGAGACUGGAAUUCCUGGUGUAGCGGUGAAAUGCGCAGAUAUCAGGAGGAACACCGAUGGCGAAGGCAGGUCUCUGGGCAUUAACUGACGCUGAGGAGCGAAAGCACGGGGAGCGAACAGG
rnacentral:rRNA from 1 species